rnacentral:lncRNA from 1 species
GGGUUUUGUCGGAACCUAUCACACACAACAACAUCACCAUCAACCCAACUUGGCAUUAAUACCAUUUUGAAAGCUAUUUCCUAAAUCAAGUUCUACUAGUUAUCCCUAACUAGCUUCCAACUACUACCAAAUGGCUAUUAUUUGCACUACUCUAGUCACACUAAAAAUGAAUAAACAACCUUAACAAUAAAACACUCACAAAUCUAAUUACUAGACAUUAUCAAAAACUAAAGAGAUUAACCCUAACUCAUACUCACCUUGAUGGUCUUUGUAGUUGAAUUCUCUUUCAAAAUUCUUCAAGCUAAUAAGGAAAAUCACUCACUCACUCUCUCUCUCUCUCUUUCUACACGUCCAACUAAUGAGUGAAUGUACUAAAGAAAGACUUUUGAAGGCUGUUGAGGUGUGAAAGUGGAAGAGCAUGAAAAACCCUAUGAAGGAGUGGGCAAAAACAUGAAACUUGGACUUUCUAUGAGAGCUUUAUGGAGGAUUCAAG